GAAUGAUGAAACCACGUAAGAAGUAAACAAAUCAAUUUCCUCCGAUUUUCGCUCAAAUUUCGCUGAAAAACCCUCAAAUAUCAAAAAUGGAAUCGACACACAUCGCCCAUCAAUCCGGCAGUUUUUCCACAUUUAGCAACAAUUGGACUUGCGAGAGACUUGGUCAAAUAACAACUUCGCGAAUAGUCAUCAAUUUUCCCAUUUUUCUCGUUCUUUAAAGAGCAAAGAGACGCGACUUGAGUGAAAAAAGAUGCUGGUUAUUGGCGUGAAACGAGAUGAGCUCUUCAAGGCACUCGGCAAGACUUAUACUGAACAAGAAUUCGAAAAGUUCUGUUUUGACUUUGGCAUCGAGUUGGAUGAUGUGACGUCGGAGUGUUGAGCAAGGAACAAGGACUUGCAUCUGCAUUGCUUGUUUUUCAAUGAAAAGAAUGCACCGCAGCUGAGUUAAUUUAGUUGUAUAGCACACAUGCACAGUUGAAAGCUUACUUACCCAUCAUCAAAGAAUCGCUCGUGUAUCCCGUAAUUAAUGAUGCAAAUGGAGUUGUGCUUUCGUGGCCUCCAAUUUCAUUCGUCCCGUUAUUUAUAAAAAAAAUAUUUAAAAAUCUGCUGAUUUAAUUGAAAUUUCAUAAAAUGUUUUUCUAAAAUUCUUAAUUUAAUUUUAUUUUUUACGAUAAUAAAUUUAAAAUUCCUCGAAAAAUUUUAAUUUAAUUAAAUUUUUAAAUUUAUUUUUUUUUUAAUGUUAAUCAAAUAUUUGAUCUUUGAAAAAUUAUUAAUUUGCCAUUUAUUUUUUUUAUUGGACAAUACACUUUAAGUCUAAAAAAAAUUAUUUAGAUAUUAUUUAUUUUUAUUUCUUUCUU